GGGGGAGUAGUUCAGUUGGUCAGAACGUCUGCCUGUCACGCAGAAGGCCGCGAGUUCGAGCCUCGUCUCUCCCGCCA
rnacentral:tRNA from 1 species